UUAUUGCUUAAGAAUACGCGU
rnacentral:miRNA from 1 species